AGUGCUUCUGGUCACCACAGCAGAAAGGUGUUGUGGUGUUCUUCGGUGCUGCGCUGUUUUGAUCAUAUUGCGGCAUUUUUUUCUCCCCUUCCGUGCGCAGAAAGCGCCAAUGUGCCGAAAACCAACACCGAAGCAAACUGGCAGUCAAAGGGUGUCUCCACGACGCACACGGAGCUCCACUAUUUAUCAUUCACCAGCUCCAGUCGGGGAGGCAGCGGUGGGUGGAGACGGAGGGGGCUUCCUACCGCAGGGAGCGCGGCUGAAUCACCGAGCGCGCCUCCGCCGGAUCUCCUCUCUCCCACCGUCACACCCACUGCUCGGUGUCGUGGGUUCACCCCGUGGAGAAGGGGAGGACCGACGGCUUCACACGGCAGCUUAGAGUGCUGCAGUGCGAGCACAGCGGGGGACGCGAAGGGGAGAGAAAACACAAAUCAGCUGCCUUCACUGGCGAAAACUUGGUGUAUGGAGACAUCCGCAGCAGCGUAGCGACGCAGGCCGACAUGGAAGAGUAUCUGCGGAGGGUCCAGAGCAGACUCGGGGCAGACGUAUCAGAGGGUCCUGUUCAUGCUGUUUUAGGUGGACCAGAGCCAGAUGUUGACACUGUUGCAGCAACGCUAUGCUUAGCGCUCCACCUCAGCCAGAAGGAACCGUCAGGCGGAGUGUGUGUGCCGGUGCUGUGUGGUCGGCGAUUCCACACUGUGUUGCCCGAGGAGACGGUGACGUAUCUGCAGAGGGUGAAAAUUUGCGAAAGCUUACUGCUGUGGAGGGAUGAUGUGGAUCUUGUGAAGCUUCAUCACACCGGAAAUCUGUCUCUCACGCUGUUAAGAGAAGGACUGCUGGACAGCUCUGAGUACCACACUUUGGAGUCCAGCAUCCUGCAAGUGGUCCAUCACGAUGGGCAGCAGGGCGCAGGGGAUGAUGGGGCAUUGUCCGUGGUGACAACAGUCACCGGAGAGAUUCUUCAAGAGGCAGCAGAGCACAUCAGAGCAGCGCUGGGGGAGAUCCUCGGAGAGGCCUUACGACUACAACGAGAUGCUGUGUGGAUCAAACAUGGCCGUCAGUCAUCACAGCUGGAGGAGCUCAUGAGUUCCUUGGAGCAAUGGAGUGAUGUCGCUGCUGGUCAGCACGAUGAGGACAAACUACAAGACUUGAUGCAGCUGCUGACUGUGGAGCUGAAGGAGUAUUCUGAUGGGGAGAUGACCAUAGCGCUCACUUCACUGACAACAGAUAAGGAGGACUGGCAUGGUUAUGUGGAUACGCUGAAAUCAUUCACUCAUAGCCAUGGAUACGACAGUCUUGUGGUUCUCUUGUCCAUCUGUGAUACAGUUCAUCAUCCCCGCCAGCAGGUGGUGGUCUACUCAAGCAACACAGAUAUCUUAAACCAGAUUUGCUCUGAGUUGGAAGAGUCCUCCAGCUGGUCUCUGUCUGGUGAACUGGAUCCUAGUGAGGGUCUUCAGGUCUACCACAUUCCUAUAAACACCUCGGCUUCCUCCGGUACUCCUCCGCUGCUGGAGGAAGAGAUCCGAGGCAUCCUUCAGGACUUCAUCGACCGGCGGAGUUCUGUAUUAGCUUGCCACCCGAGCAGUAGGACGUCUUCCACAGAGGGAGUAGCAGGCAGCGUGGAGUUCUCCCAGGGAUCAUCUGGUAUCAAUGACAUGGAUGGUUCUGACAUAGAGAGAACCGAUGGAGGCAAUGGAGAUGUGGUGGCAAUAGCAAGGGUGAUGGCAGAUGCUGAAGAGGACACAGGAGGUGUAGGAGUCAGUGCUGGUGGGGAACUAGUAAGCCCUGACAGUGGGAUGACAACCAUUCGUAGCAGCCGGUCCUCCAAGGAGAGUUCAGUGUUUCUCAGUGAUGACAGUCCAGUUGGUGAAGUUAUAGCAGGUGGAGGUCCAGCAGCAGGACCAGUAGGACUCUUCCUCAGAAACCCCUCUCCUCUGGGGUUGUCGUCUCUCUCUCCUCCUGUUCCACCUGAGAGGAGGAAACACCGCUCCAGCAGAAAUAGGAGUGACAACUUUGACCUGUUUAGUUUUGAUCCAUUACAUAGCAGCGAGCACUCCAUGCCAACAGGAGGGGAACUGCCACAUUCUGGAGACAGAGGAGAUGAAGGCGAAAGAAGAGCAGGGAGCUCGAGCCUAUCAGAGCUCGAAGAGUUAAGCCUGCUAGAUUUCUCUGCUUCAAACUCUUUAGGAGGGCUUGAAAGUGGAAAUUCCUUAAAUGAUCACCAUGGUCAAAUCCAUGGGAAUGAGAUGAUUGACACUGUAGUUCCACCAACCCCAGUCAACAGCUUGGUAGGUAGCCGCCCGCCCAGCAGUUGUGGGGUCAGGUUCUUCCCAGAAGAUGUAGUUGAAAGAAUCAAUGGCCUUCAACACAAAGACAGUGUCUCAUCAUCCUUGUCAGAGACAUGGGAUGAACUUGGCUUUGACACACAAGGAACAUUAUCUUCAAGUGAUAAUAUUGCCUGGAAUAGGCUCAAAGACUCUGAGAGCCCCCAGAAUAUUGUCGAAGAAGUUAGAGGCAAAGACUCUCUUAGGGACCCAACAGAAACAGAAAGGAGAGAGGAGAUCUUGAAGUUGGAGAAUGCCCACCAGAAGGGAAAGAGCCUUGAACCCCAGCUUAGUCUGAUAACUGAGCAAACUGAAUCAUAUGGCAACUGGAACCCAGAGUCUAUAGUAACAGAUCAGUGGAACCCUGUUUCUUUGGCUGAUCUACAACUAACACCACCAGAGGAUGAAGUAACUAGAAAAUGGAAAGCCAGUAUCAUUGCAGCAAAAGAAAGAACCUCAUCUUUGUCAAGUAAGAAAACAAUCCUAAACACUUUAACACCAGAUACAUCAAAAGAGGAAGACGAAGGGGUUCAAGGAAAAAAACGAGACCUACAGAUGGAGGUCUUGGAUUUCUGGACAUACUCAGCUCAGAAGGGAUUUCUCAAAUCUGAAAGCAGAACCACCACAUCUGUCCCUGAAUCACUAGAUAUGUGGAAUAUGACAAUCCGGGAUGACAGUCUGUCACCUCUCACAACCCCCGACAACUUGUCCGAAAACUCAGGUUCCUUGUGUGGUCUGAAUCCAAAUAUUAGGAGUGGCACAUCCGUUGAAAGUCCAGUGGGAUAUGGUGGAAUGGAGAUGUGGAACACCACCAUACAGGAAGACAGCUCUUCCACAGUAACAAGCCCAGAAGGACCUGAAAAUGGAAAGGACCUUAGUUACAUGGGAUCCUUGGAUGCCAGUGAUUCUCUUGAGACACAUGCGAGAAAACAAGUAGAAGACAAAGUUUUAGAGGAAGAAAGUGGCCCGUGUGCAGUAAUUAAUCAGACACUUGAUGAAGUUGGGUGGAGAAGUAAUGAACACAAUGUGCAAAUAGUCAUAGAGGCUGUAGAAGGUGGAGCAGAGGGUGAAGAAACAGGGGACGAUGACCUGCAGAGUGUUCAGAGCCAACAGUCCAUCUCACAGAAAUCGGCAUCUGAAAAAGAGACUUCUUCCUACCAAGGUGUUGACAUGUUGGACUUAACUGUCCAAGGCAUGGUCACUUCCACCUCUGAAUAUGACAACGUAGGAGCUGGUACAUGGAGCCUGACAUCUUCCCCUGACACUUAUGCUAGCCCCGUAGCAGACAUGGUAGAGUUAGAGGGGGAAUCCAGCCCUUUCAUGGCUGUGGCCAAACCUAUUCAGAUAGAUGAGAGGCAAAUUCAAUGUCAGGAGGCUGAUCCGAUGAGAAAAAUCGAAGACAGAGCAGUAACAGAUAGAGAGCAGCUGGCCAACCAAGUGUUCCUGUUUGAGGGAACUAGUGAUUUGGGUCACAUAACCAGGAGUUGGGGAAGUUCAGUUGAGAGUAAGUAUGACAACAAAAGCAGAGCAGAAUCAGAGGAGGUUGACUGGAUAGAGCAACAGAAUGAUCGUUCCCCAUUUGUUCUGGUGGACUCCUCCUACGUCACUCAGCAAAUUUCAGAAAGUCCAGAGACAGCUGCUGAUCAGUCAAUCAAAAUGGCCCACAAUCAAGAUGAGCCUGCUUUUGAAAGCCAAUGGAGUGCGAACAAAGAGAGCAAUGGAAAUGUGGAGGGCAAAAUAACACAAGCUGCAUCUCUGAGCUCUAGCCCAGGUGUUGAGGGAGACACACAAAACAGUCCUGACAGUCUUCACACAGGUAGUCAAGAUAAACAUGGGUCCAGUUCUGACGGAGAUUCAUUCUCAGGCUUAGAAAUGGAAUACAUUAUUGUGUCUGGCACAGUGAAAGAAACCAAGAGAGAGUGGCAUGAUAGACCUAAACAAGCUGUCAGGCAAUCAAAAGGAGCAAGAAAGAUGGAGACGUUUAGCAUGCUGUCCUAUGCAGCCUCAGUACUGCAAAGUCAGGCCCAAAAUGCACAUCGAGAUCACCAGGAGAACACACCGGAAAGCAGGCAAAGUGGUAGUGCAGAUAAAGAGCAAAAUCAAACCAUCUUACCCACUCAUCACCAAGCAAGUCUUGACAAUGUCACUGAGUGCGACGUGGUGCCAGAAAUAGUUAGAUCUAGCCAAUCAAUAAGUCGCUCUGAAGGUUUUCAUCACUCCGAUUCAAGACAAACAGGUUUCAGUCAGUCACAAGGAGAAGAAAGAAACUAUGACAACGAAUCCAGCUUUCCAGCCCGAAGUGUGUCUCCAUCGUUAAGAUAUCCAUCAGACCACUUCCUGAAAACCAGAGAGGAAGUUUAUGUCCAUUCACAGAUCUCAAUGGAAGAUUCAGAUGAGGGUGGUCACUCACCAUCUGCACCUCCACCGUGUCCUGCUUCCUUGGGUGACUUGCAAGUAUGGGGGGGUCAGCUAACGAGACAGGACACGUCUCAAACCACAUCUGAACAACAAUCCCCUGUACUCACCAACAGUUCGGUCUCCCACACCAGCUCUCUGAUUGGCACCCCAGUAAGUGAACUGUGUACUUCUACUGACAAAGGACUUGGAUUACCAUUUUCUGGAGAUUUAAUGGAAGAGGAGGAACAGGAAGAGGAAACUGAUCUGGAGCACAUAAGCCUCCCAACAUGGACUUCAGAAGUACAACAUGAGGCAGAAGAGAGACAGCAGUUGGGAUCUUCUGACCUGCUGAGUUUUACAGAGGAGCUGAUUGGAGGUUCUUCAUUUCAGCAAACAGAUUUACAAACAGGCCCAAACAGGGAGGAGUUUCUCCAAAACAGAGUGGAUUACUACGAUGGACAACCUAUAAGGACUGAUGAUCGUGAUAAGUGGUCUACUGAACAACAGAGUGGAGACUAUGAAGAACCUCACGAUAGUUAUUCACCUGUUUUGAGAGGACACCAAGAUGUGACAUCACAACCGUUGCCCCAGCCAACGAGUGAAAAUGCUGCAUACCAGUGGACAGCAAGUCAAAACGCAACUCAGGGUCAAACCCAGUAUGGCUACAACUACCAUCACAUUGACCAAAGAACUGAAAACCAAUGUACCUAUCCAGCCUGUGCAGAUACCAAAUCCAGCAGCCACCAGAAUACCACAGAUGUCUAUGCUGAAUUUACCACUAAUGCUGCAGCUGUACAGUACAGAUCUGAGCAGACUGAGAACUACUUUGAAGCUGGAAUUAACUCCCAGUACAGCCUGGAUGAAGCAGGUUUCCAGUGUCGGUAUGUAGCUGAAAGCCAGUAUGUAGCUGAAUCCACAUCUGAACUCCAGUACUCUCAGGACAAUGCUGCAGGCCAGAGUCAGUAUGAGUCCGACCAUGCUCAUUAUCAGAUUGACGGACAGCCAUUCUACCAAUCAGAUGUCCACUCUGAGAGAGAAGAUCAUGCACGGUAUGUGCCGGAGGGAUAUGUUCACUUCCUCCUAUCAAGACACUCCCAACAGGGAGCUGGUGCAGCAGAGAUGAUGAUGAAGAUGGCCUCCAGUGAGGAAGCAGCUGACGAGGAGGAUGACAGACAAGACCCACCCUCCUCAGCAGAUAUAUCAGGUGGAUCUAAUCAAAGGAGAAAGCUGGCAGCCCCACCAAUGAGCGUGUCGCUGGACCACAGUGAGGGGUCUCUACUCUCAGAGGAUGCCCUGGACACAGAGGACGAUGGUUUGGAUACUGGGGAUGACCUAGAUGUCAACAUCGAUGAGAUGGACACACCUGAUGAGGCUGACUCACUGGAAUUCAACAGACACGAGGACUCAGAGGAGUCCAAUCUGGGCGCUGGAGCAGCAUCAAGUGAUCCUAUCGCAGGCCACAGAGCAGCUGAGGAGAGCAGCGACAGUCGACUGUGGAGGAGUGUGGUGAUUGGAGAGCAGGAGCAUCGCAUUGAUAUGAAGUGCAUCGAGCCAUUCAAAAGAGUAAUUUCUCAUGGAGGUUAUUAUGCUGAACAGAAUGCCAUCAUCGUGUUUGCAGCAUGUUUCCUCCCCGACAGCGACUGCGACAAUUACAAUUAUGUGAUGGAAAACCUUUUUCUGUAUGUAAUAAGUACACUGGAACUAAUGGUGGCAGAAGAUUACAUGAUUGUUUACCUGAAUGGAGCCACUCCUCGCAGGAGGAUGCCUGGUUUUACCUGGAUGAAAAGGUGCUACCAAAUGAUAGACAGAAGACUAAAGAAAAACCUGAAGAUGUUCAUCAUCGUUCAUCCUUCCUGGUUCAUACGGACUUUGCUGGGAAUCACUAGACCCUUCAUAAGCUCCAAGUUCAGCAGUAAGAUCAAAUAUGUGAACAGUCUGCGGGAGCUUGGAGAAAUCAUCCCAAUGGAGUACGUCCACAUUCCACCCAGCAUCAUCAACAGAUCUACUCCAGAAAUAUACAUUCUUUAGAAAUGGUGAACAGAUCACAGAGCAAACUUUUUCCCAAGUGCCUAAAUUAGGCAUGUUUGUACAUCUCUCACUCUGCCCCAAGGUAUGACGAGGAGAGGGCUAUACACAAAUUUGCAUGCAUGAGGUAAAUCUCCUAACCUGCCUGUGUUGAUCAGUUGGAUAUGUAAAGGUCUCCCUGACAAUCCUUCAGUGCUGUUAUGAAUUUUCUCAUGCUGGGACUAACCUUUGACUAACCUUUGGCUGUCUUCGUAUCCAGCAUAAAAUGAGCCAGAUAUUGAUUUUCUUAUCUCUCUCAGUCUGCGAUGUGGCUUUUCCUGUACACUAGUUAAUUUUACCUCUCAUGUGAGACAUUUUUAGUCGAAAUUUAGUUGACCUACAGUUUAUACUCUGCAGCAGAUUCCACUAAUUACACAAUCACUCCCAAAGCUAGGCUGGUCUGGUCUUUGGAAGAAUUAAUGCACAGAGAGGAACAGACUCCAAAUAGGGAAACACCACUAACUUUCUCUGCUAGUAGGAAUCGUUGCAAAGGGUGUAAAGUUUCAGUAGACACAACAUAUUUCUGCAGUGUAAAUAAUAUGUUGCAUGGUAUUGUAGCUGCAGCUGACUAACUCCUAACUUCAGGUGAGUUAGCAUGUGGUUUUACAAAGAGGCAGCUGUGUGCCGCACAGUGUUGUGUGACACUACAAAAAUAUUGGAACAAUAAAAAUAGUUUCAAAUCCUACACUUGUAUAUAACAUUUAAUAUUAAGGUAUUAUAUUUUGGUUUGGUGAAGGUUAGGGAAGGAGAGCGUUCAUAGCAAAAAGAAAACAAUAUAAACCUAUGGUACAGGCAAACUGGAGUCUAAUGUCAAAGUUACACUUUGAAGUGUCGUGUCAAUAUUGCACUACUUUGUUACUGAGAAGAUAUUUGUGUGCAUGCUUACUGGUUGCACAUGAGAUAAAUGUGAACAUCAGAACAAAUGCUGUUGUUGACCAGUGAGGACAGUCUCUGUGGAACAGACAAGAUAUGAUCCAUGAGAGUUUAUGUAUGAUUGCUGCCUGGUUGGCUGUUUCAGUCCACAUCUACACUGUGGAUGCUGUCAAAGACUCAGCUCACCAGAUCUGUAAAACACCCACUUGUUGAUACUUUGGUGGAAAAAGAGUGGAGAUCAAACUGUGGAAAAAAAUAUACCAAACAAAUUCUAGAUUUGACCCAGUCCAUGACCUUACCUUUGAGUAUUUGAGUUGAAUGCUACUGAGCAUGUGUGGCGUCUAAAGAGUCUUUAAAUGUUUGAAGGACUAAUGUGGACUCUUGAGAAACAUUAUUGCACCCUAUGCAUUGCAAAGCAUUCCUUUGACCUUGAACUCUAUCAAUGCUUGUUUUCCUUUCCUUCUAUUCCUCCUUUUGUGGCAGUGUGGAUACAGGCUACUAAUCCCCAGCAAUUGCAUGUGCAUUGACAAUACUGUCGCUCUGUCACUUCUAAAUCUUUCUCUCUAACUUUUACUCUCUGCCUUCCAAACCAAUGCUAAACCAGACUGGAUACAGACUUGCAGGACACAGCAGCUAAGUAAAUGAGCUGACAAGGGGAACUCCGCUGUUUGACAACAUACUUGGCUGCUGCCUGUCUUCCUGCUGUGUUACGCUGUACUCGACCACAGCAUGUGUGAAUAUGAAGCCAGCCUGCAGCAUGACGUGUACCACACACAGGUGUUACACCAACAACUAGCAGUGAACUCAGAGAGGAAGAUGCUGUGGUACAAAACAUCAGGCAACGGCUUGUUCAUUGAGGAAAGUUCAAAUCUGAGGGUACUGAAUAUACAGUAAUGCUGUAUUUGCAGAGCAGAAACUAUCACUGUGCUAAAGGGAAGAUGCUUUACAUUGUAUUAGAAGACAUUACACAGCACUUAAUCAAGGGCCCCAUUUUGUUUUCUUGUACUUCUUCAAUUUGAACCAGGCGUUUAUUCAUAUGGAACUACAAGGUUUUCCCCUUACUGACUUUCAUGUGUUAAUAACAUUCAUAUGUUAAUAAUUUAGCCAUGGUAGUAAUAAUUGGAUUUUCUAAAGCCAUAGUGAGGCUCAUGACUCUUUCAACAUAUAACCAAAUACAGGUACAUGUAAACAGAAGUCGCAUUACAUCCCUUCUGUUCACAUAUCAAUAUUUGUGUUCCCUGGAUGAUAGGGGUGUUAUUCUGUAGCCCUGUCAAUAGAUUGUAAUGUUAAGCGAUUCUCUAUUUAGACUGUAAUUUUAGCUAAUCAAGUUUACAGAAAUAUAAUCCACACACAAAAACUUUGCACUGUAUAAGUUUGUACUGGCAUGAGGCAAAAUGGUCAAGCUGGUUUGUGAAUCAUUUAUUAAAGUGUAGGUGGCUCCCAUCACAGUGGGGUUUUACAUUGUGUCGCUUCCUUGUCCAUCACCUCAGUCACUCCUUAAAGACAUGAGUAGGCUGAUCUGUUAACAUCACAUUAAGUAGCAAAAAAGCAGUUAUCAUAGCUGCAGUAAUGUGUUGCAUGCUUUCAGUUGUUACAACUGGAGAAAAUUCUGACUUAAUGCCACAAUAAAGUUUGUCCAGUUCUACACAUGUAUGUGCAAGAGACGGACAAAGAUGACCUGUUGGGAUGUGGUGAAGAAGUUCUUCAUGUGCAUUGAUGGUGAGAGAGAAAAUGUACACUGUGCAGGUUGGGACAUGUCUACAUUUCUGUGUGGUUUCUUAAAUUUGUAUGUUUGUGUCUUGCACGGUGUUCAUUUGACGUAUAAUAUGUAACAUGAUUUACUUCAUUAAAGAUGUGUUCCUCCAA